GACGAACGCUGGCGGCGUGCUUAACACAUGCAAGUCGAACGGAAAGGCCCUGCUUUUGUGGGGUUCUCGAGUGGCGAACGGGUGAGUAACACGUGAGUAACCUGCCCUUGACUUUGGGAUAACUUCAGGAAACUGGGGCUAAUACCGUAUAGGAGCUCCUGCUGCAUGGUGGGGGUUGGAAAGUUUCGGCGGGUGGGGAUGGACGCGCGGGUUAUGAGCUUGUUGGUUGGGUAGUGGCUUACCAAGGCUUUGACGGGUAGCCGGCCUGAGAGGGUGACCGGCCACAUUGGGACUGCGGUACGGCCCAGACUCCUACGGGAGGCAGCAGUGGGGAAUAUGGCACAAUGGGCGGAAGCCUGAUGCAGCAACGCCGCGUGCGGGAUGACGGCCUUCGGGUUGUAAACCGCUUUCGCCUGUGACGAAGCGUGAGUGACGGUAAUGGGUAAAGAAGCACCGGCUAACUACGUG
rnacentral:rRNA from 1 species